rnacentral:rRNA from 1 species
AGUAAUGUCUGGGAACUGCCUGAUGGAGGGGGAUAACUACUGGAAACGGUAGCUAAUACCGCAUAACGUCGCAAGACCAAAGUGGGGGACCUUCGGGCCUCAUGCCAUCAGAUGUGCCCAGAUGGGAUUAGCUAGUAGGUGGGGUAACGGCUCACCUAGGCGACGAUCCCUAGCUGGUCUGAGAGGAUGACCAGCCACACUGGAACUGAGACACGGUCCAG